rnacentral:rRNA from 1 species
UGGGGAAUAUUGCACAAUGGGCGCAAGCCUGAUGCAGCCAUGCCGCGUGUAUGAAGAAGGCCUUCGGGUUGUAAAGUACUUUCAGUCGGGAGGAAGGUGGUAAGGUUAAUAACCUUAUCAAUUGACGUUACCGACAGAAGAAGCACCGGCUAACUCCGUGCCAGCAGCCGCGGUAAUACGGAGGGUGCAAGCGUUAAUCGGAAUUACUGGGCGUAAAGCGCACGCAGGCGGUUGAUUGAGUCAGAUGUGAAAUCCCCGGGCUUAACCCGGGAAUUGCAUCUGAUACUGGUCAGCUAGAGUCUUGUAGAGGGGGGUAGAAUUCCAUGUGUAGCGGUGAAAUGCGUAGAGAUGUGGAGGAAUACCGGUGGCGAAGGCGGCCCCCUGGACAAAGACUGACGCUCAGGCGCGAAAGCGUGGGGAGCAAACAGG